rnacentral:rRNA from 1 species
GGGUGAGUAAUGUCUGGGAAACUGCCUGAUGGAGGGGGAUAACUACUGGAAACGGUAGCUAAUACCGCAUAACGUCGCAAGACCAAAGAGGGGGACCUUCGGGCCUCUUGCCAUCAGAUGUGCCCAGAUGGGAUUAGCUAGUAGGUGGGGUAACGGCUCACCUAGGCGACGAUCCCUAGCUGGUCUGAGAGGAUGACCAGCCACACUGGAACUGAGACACGGUCCAGACUCCUACGGGAGGCAGCAGUGGGGAAUAUUGCACAAUGGGCGCAAGCCUGAUGCAGCCAUGCCGCGUGUAUGAAGAAGGCCUUCGGGUUGUAAAGUACUUUCAGCGGGGAGGAAGGCGUUAAGGUUAAUAACCUUAGCAAUUGACGUUACCCGCAGAAGAAGCACCGGCUAACUCCGUGCCAGCAGCCGCGGUAAUACGGAGGGUGCAAGCGUUAAUCGGAAUUACUGGGCGUAAAGCGCACGCAGGCGGUCUGUCAAGUCGGAUGUGAAAUCCCCGGGCUCAACCUGGGAACUGCAUUCGAAACUGGCAGGCUAGAGUCUUGUAGAGGGGGG